AGGAAAUAUUCAAGGCAAUAGAACAGAACUCCUCUCAUCCUCUCUCAGGAAACUCAGAGAAAAUGUUUAAAGAGAGAUCACAGUCUGCUAAAUGGAUAAGGUGAUAUCAGAAGAAUCUGAGACUCUGGGAUCCAUCAUGAAUCUCAAACCAGAGCCAGGUUUCGACAGUGCACAUGGGGACUGAGGGCCAUAUUUCAAGCAGAAUGAACAGAACAAGCCUGCUCUCCUUACUGUGGAAAAAUACUACCCCAACUUGAUUCAUUGAAGAAUAUCCACACUUCAGAAGCCUGGAAGAAACAUCUGAAGAUGUAAAACCACUGGUAAGCCUAUAUACAGUCAG